rnacentral:rRNA from 1 species
UGUAAAACGACGGCCAGUGAAUUGUAAUACGACUCACUAUAGGGCGAAUUGGGCCCUCUAGAUGCAUGCUCGAGCGGCCGCCAGUGUGAUGGAUAUCUGCAGAAUUCGCCCUUCAGGCCUAACACAUGCAAGUCGAACGCCCUCUUCGGAGGGAGUGGCAGACGGGUGAGUAACACGUGGGAACGUGCCCGAAGGUACGGAACAACUCCGGGAAACUGGAGCUAAUACCGUAUGUGUCCGCAAGGAGAAAGAUUUAUCGCCUUCGGAUCGGCCCGCGUCAGAUUAGCUAGUUGGUGGGGUAAAAGCCUACCAAGGCGACGAUCUGUAGCUGUUCUUAGAGGAAGACCAGCCACACUGGGACUGAGACACGGCCCAGACUCCUACGGGAGGCAGCAGUGGGGAAUCUUGGACAAUGGGCGCAAGCCUGAUCCAGCCAUGCCGCGUGGAUGACGAAGGCCUUAGGGUUGUAAAAUCCUUUCAGCGGGGACGAUAAUGACG